ensembl:lncRNA
CCUUUCUCCCUGCCCCAGACCAGGGCUGUGCCCUGCAGCUCCUGCCCAUGGUCCCUGAAAUGCCGGGGCUUUCAUUUCUGUGGGAGAGCAUCCAGGUGCUGGUCCCCACAGAGGAGCUUCCUCCCCACCAGCUCUGCCCAUCCCAGAGGGGACAGCCCUCCUCUGCUUAGCCCUGCACCCAGGGCACAGCCAAGGGCUGAGUGAAGGGGCUGUCUUAGGGCAGGUCUGGGAGCCUCUCUGAAAAAUGCCUCAUGCCAAGGGAACUGGUCUCCUCCCAACGGUGCCCAUCCACAGCAGUGCUGACCACAAGUCAGGGCAGAAGGGCUCAUCCCAGAGCACCCAGCUCUCUGCAGGCUCCUCUUCAGAGGCGUCCCUGACCCAGCUGCAGCCCUACCCCAGGCACAGUGAGGAGGAGGAUGGUCUGGAGCCACCCCAGGGAUCAGAGCUGGGGUGGGGGGAGAAAGAGCUCCAUGUCUCCUGCCUGCAGACCGACAGACAGCGGUGCCACUNNNNNNNNNNNNNNNNNNNNGGGGGCACAUCUGCAGGGCCCUUUCUCCCUGCCCCAGACCAGGGUUGUCCCCUGAAGCUCCUGCUCAUGGUUCCUGAAAUGGUUGGGCCGUGAGGUCUGUGGGAGAGCAUCCAGGUGCUGGUCCCCACAGAGGAGCUUCCUCCCCACCAGCUCUGCCCAUCCCAGAGGGGACAGCCCCUCUCUGCCUGGCCCUGCACCCUGGGGACAUCCAAGGGCUGAGUGAAGGGGCUGUCUUAGGGCAGGUCUGGGAGCCUCUCUGAAAAAUGCCUCGUGCCAAGGGAACUGGUCUCCUCCCCACGGUGCCCAUCCACAGCAGUGCUGACCACAAGUCAGGGCAGCAGGGCUCAUCCCAGAGCACCGCUGCAGGUCUCUGCAGGCUCCUCUUCAGAGGCGUCCCUGACCUGGCUGCAGCCCUACCCCAGGCACAGUGAGGAGGAGGAUGGUCUGGAGCCACCCCAGGGAUCAGAGCUGGGAUGGGGGGAGAAAGAGCUCCAUCUCUCCUGCCUGCAGACCGACAGACAGCGGUGCCACUGAGUGCCAUCAUCAGAGCUGGAAGGACGAGGGCUCUGCUUUGGCCCUGACACCAGCAGCAUAUGUCCCUGUCCUGCCCGGAGGUGACCCAGCAGAUGGCUACGAUGAUGCUGGGGAGGUGUCUGACCCUGGGGAGGAUCCUGUCCCUGGGCAGGGGGACUGGGAAGUGCCCAGGAUACCAGAGGAAGGAGAUGGGCCCAGGGAUGCAGCCACAGGGGGAAGCCUGCGCUCCCAGAGAAGUGCUGGGGACCCUGGAGCUGAGGGAGACACCUCGUCCCCCUUCCCGGGAAGCAUGGGCUAUGACGAUGCUGAAGAGGUGUCUCUGGCAUGUCCCCACGAGGACACCCAGGAUGUGUCACCAGAGCCCCAUGCACAAGGGUCCCAGAGCCCCAGGCCAGCAGAGCCCAGCCCUGCUGAGCAGCUGGGUGCAGCCAGGAGGGAGGAGAGCUCAGUGCCACUGGGAGAGCUGUGAGCACCAGGGAACGGUCUCCCUUUU